GACAGAGAGGGAGAGAUGAGGGGGCAGGGGGUAAAUUGGACCGUGCACAAACUCUCCUUUAAUUGUGUGAGUCAAUGUGAAGGCCCAGCAGCACUAAUUAGAGGGAUGUAGAGGGCCCAGUAGUUAUUAGAUAGGAGGGCAGUUACAACACAACCCAGGGAGUUAAGAAGGAACAACAACACAGUCUUCAGAACAGGACCGGCUCAGAGCAGAGUGGGACCCACCUCACAGUCUAAUACCACUGCAACAGUAAACUAGUGUAAUACUUUAGACAAGAUAUUGUCUCGUUCUCUACAGCCAGAAGUGAGUACAUCGUGCAGUAUAAACUUUGCACAGAUCACGGCACAACUGACACUACCAAAUCAUCAAUGAUGAUAUUGCCCAUUGCUACUGCAACUCCUACAUCUACUGUGACACUAAAGACAACAUCUACUGUAACACUAAAGACACAUCUACUGUAACACUAGAAACACAUACUGUAACACUAAAGACAACAUCUACUACAACACUAAAGACGGAUCCACUGUAACACUAAAUACACAUCUACUGUAACACUAAAGACAACAUCUACUACAACACUAAAGACACAUCUACUGUAACACUAGAGACACAUACUGUAACACUAAAGACAACAUCUACUACAACACUAAAGACAACAUCUACUGUAACACUAAAUACACAUCUACUGUGACACUAAAGACAACAUCUACUGUAACACUAAAGACACAUCUACUGUAACACUAGAAACACAUACUGUAACACUAAAGACAACAUCUACUACAACACUAAAGAUGGAUCCACUGUAACACUAAAUACACAUCUACUGUAACACUAAAGACAACAUCUACUACAACACUAAAGACACAUCUACUGUAACACUAGAGACACAUACUGUAACACUAAAGACAACAUCUACUACAACACUAAAGACACAUCUACUGUAACACUAAAUUCACAUCUACUGUAACACUAAAGACAACAUAUACUGUAACACUAGAGACACAUACUGUAACACUAAAGACAACAUCUACUACAACACUAAAGACGGAUCCACUGUAACACUAAAUACACAUCUACUGUAACACUAAAGACAACAUCUACUACAACACUAAAGACACAUCUACUGUAACACUAAAUACACAUCUACUGUAACACUAAAGACAACAUCUACUACAACACUAAAGACACAUCUACUGUAACACUAAAGACACAUAUACUGUAACACUAAAGACAACAUCUACUACAACACCAAAGACACAUAUACUGUAACACUAAAGAUACAUCUACUACAACACCAAAGACACAUCUACUGUAACACUAAAGACACAUCUACUACAACACUAAAUACACAUCUAUUGUACCACUAAAGACAACAUCUACAGUAACACUAAAGAUACAUCUACUGUAACACUAAAUACAACAUCUACUGUAACACUAAAGACACAUCUACUGUAACAAAAAAUACACAUCUACUUUAACACAAAAUACAACAUCUACUGUAACACUGAAGACACAUGUACUGUAACACUAAAGACACAUCUACUGUAACACUAAAUACACAUCUACUGUAACACUAAAGACAACAUCUACUACAACACUAAAGACACAUCUACUGUAACACUAAAGACACAUAUACUGUAACACUAAAGAAAACAUCUACUACAACACCAAAGACACAUCUACUGUAACACUAAAGAUAAAUCUACUACAACACCAAAGACACAUCUAUUGUAACACUAAAUACACAUCUACUGUAACACUAAAGACAACAUCUACUACAACACCAAAGGCACAUAUACUGUAACACUAAAGAUACAUCUACUACAACACCAAAGACACAUCUACUGUAACACUAAAGACACAUCUACUACAACACUAAAUACACAUCUAUUGUACCACUAAAGACAACAUCUACAGUAACACUAAAGAUACAUCUACUGUAACACUAAAUACAACAUCUACUGUAACACUAAAGACACAUCUAGUGUAACAAAAAAUACACAUCUACUUUAACACAAAAUACAACAUCUACUGUAACACUGAAGAUACAUGUACUGUAACACUAAAGACACAUCUACUGUAACACUAGAGACACAUACUGUAACACUAAAGACACAUCUACUGUAACACUAAAGGCACAUCUACUGUAACAAUAAAGACACAUCUAAUGUAACACUAAAGACAACAUAUACUGUAACACUAAAGACAACAUAUACUGUAACACUAAAGA
rnacentral:lncRNA from 1 species